GCAGCAGCCAACGUUUCGACAAGUGGACUUGUCUUCGUCCCCUGACGAAGACAAGUCCACUUGUCGAAACGUUGGCUGCUGC
rnacentral:pre_miRNA from 1 species